rnacentral:rRNA from 1 species
GACGAACGCUGGCGGCGUGCUUAACACAUGCAAGUCGAGCGGUAAGGCCCUUUCGGGGGUACACGAGCGGCGAACGGGUGAGUAACACGUGGGUGACCUGCCCUCAGCUCUGGGGAUAAGCCUGGGAAACCGGGUCUAAUACCGGAUAUGACUCCAUGACGCAUGUUGUGGGGUGAAAGCCUUGUGCGGCUGAGGAUGGGCCCGCGGCCUAUCAGCUUGGUUGGUGGGGUGANGGCCUACCAAGGCGACGACGGGUAGCCGGCCUGAGAGGGCGACCGGCCACACUGGGACUGAGACACGGCCCAGACUCCUACGGGAGGCAGCAGUGGGGAAUCUUGCGC